GCCGGGGUGGCAGAGCGGUAAUGCGCGGGCCUGGAGAGCCCGUGGCCUUCUUGGCCACCAGGGUUCAAAUCCCUGCCCCGGCGCCA
rnacentral:tRNA from 2 species